UACGUAGGGGGCAAGCGUUAUCCGGAUUCACUGGGUGUAAAGGGAGCGUAGACGGCCAUGCAAGCCUGGAGUGAAAGCCCGGGGCCCAACCCCGGGACUGCUCUGGGAACUGUGCGGCUGGAGUAUGGGAGGGGUAAGCGGAAUUCCUGGUGUAGCGGUGAAAUGCGUAGAUAUCAGGAGGAACACCGGUGGCGAAGGCGGCUUACUGGACCAUGACUGACGUUGAGGCUCGAAAGCGUGGGGAGCGAACAGG
rnacentral:rRNA from 1 species